rnacentral:rRNA from 1 species
UAACCUUGCGGUCGUACUCCCCAGGCGGUGUGCUUAAUGCUUUCGCUGCGACACUGAAAAAUAUAUUUCCAACGUCUAGCACACAUCGUUUACGGCAUGGACUACGAGGGUAUCUAAUCCUCUUCGCUACCCAUGCUUUCGCUCCUCAGUGUCAGUAGUGACCCAGUAAGUUGCCUUCGCAUUUGGUGUUCUUUCUAAUAUCUACGAAUUUCACCUCUACACUAGAAAUUCCACUUACCUCUAUCACACUCUAGCUAAAAAGUUUUGACGGCAGUUCCAAGGUUGAGCCUUGGGAUUUCACCAUCAACUUUUUUAACCACCUACGAGCUCUUUAAGCCCAGUAAUUCCGAACUACGCUAGGUCCCUUCGUAUUACCGCGGCUGCUGGCACGAAGUUAGCCGGACCUUCUUAUUCGGGUACAGUCAUUUUCUUCCCCGACGAAAGAGUUUUACAACCCAAAGGCCUUCUUCACUCACGCGGCAUCGCUGCAUCAGGGUUUCCCCCAUUGUGCAAGAUUCCCCACUGCUGCCUCCCGUAGGAGUCUGGGCCGUGUCUCAGUCCCAAUGUGGCUGGUCUUCCUCUAAGAACAGCUAUUGAUCAUUGCCUUGGUAAGCUUUUACCUUACCAACUAGCUAAUCAAGUGCGGGCUCAUCUUUCGGCAUUAAAACUUUCCCCGUAAGGGCUUAUUCGGUAUUAGCACAAGUUUCCCCGUGUUAUUCCGAACCAAAAGGCAGAUUCCCACAUUAUACUCACCCGUUUGCCACUCAGUAUUGCUACUGCGUUCGACUUGCAUGUGUUAGGCGUGCCGCCAGCGUACGUUCUGAGCCAGGAUCAAACUCU